UACGUAGGGUGCAAGCGUUAAUCGGAAUUACUGGGCGUAAAGCGUGCGCAGGCGGUUUUGUAAGACAGGUGUGAAAUCCCCGGGCUUAACCUGGGAACUGCAUUUGUGACUGCAAAGCUGGAGUGCGGCAGAGGGGGAUGGAAUUCCGCGUGUAGCAGUGAAAUGCGUAGAUAUGCGGAGGAACACCGAUGGCGAAGGCAAUCCCCUGGGCCUGUACUGACGCUCAUGCACGAAAGCGUGGGGAGCAAACAGG
rnacentral:rRNA from 1 species